CUACGGGGCGCAGCAGUGGGGAAUAUUGGACAAUGGGGGAAACCCUGAUCCAGCAAUGCCGCGUGUGUGAAGAAGGCCUGCGGGUUGUAAAGCACUUUCGGUUGGGAGGACUGCUUCUAGCACUAAUAUUGUUGGAAGUUGACGUUACCUUCAGAAGAAGCACCGGCUAGCUCCGUGCCAGCAGCCGCGGUAAUACGGAGGGUGCAAGCGUUAAUCGGAAUUACUGGGCGUAAAGCGCGCGUAGGCGGCUAGAUCAGUCGGGUGUGAAAGCCCCGGGCUUAACCUGGGAACUGCAUCCGAUACUGUCUAGCUUGAGUACAGGAGAGGAGAGUGGAAUUCCACAUGUAGCGGUGAAAUGCGUAGAUAUGUGGAGGAACACCAGUAGCGAAGGCGGCUUUCUGGACUGAUACUGACGCUAAAGCGCGAAGGCUUGGGUAGCAAACAGGAUUAGAUACCCGGGUAGUC
rnacentral:rRNA from 1 species